rnacentral:rRNA from 1 species
ACUAGCAGUAAGAGUUUGAUCAUGGCUCAGAACGAACGCUGGCGGCAGGCCUAACACAUGCAAGUCGAACGCAUCCUUCGGGGUGAGUGGCAGACGGGUGAGUAACACGUGGGAACGUGCCUUCGGUUCGGGAUAACCCAGGGAAACUUGGGCUAAUACCGGAUACGUCCUUUGGGAGAAAGAUUUAUCGCCGGAAGAUCGGCCCGCGUCUGAUUAGCUAGUUGGUGGGGUAAUGGCCCACCAAGGCGACGAUCAGUAGCUGGUCUGAGAGGAUGAUCAGCCACACUGGGACUGAGACACGGCCCAGACUCCUACGGGAGGCAGCAGUGGGGAAUAUUGGACAAUGGGCGCAAGCCUGAUCCAGCCAUGCCGCGUGAGUGAUGAAGGCCCUAGGGUUGUAAAGCUCUUUCGGCGGGGACGAUAAUGACGGUACCCGCAGAAGAAGCCCCGGCUAACUUCGUGCCAGCCGCCGCGGUAAUUC